rnacentral:rRNA from 1 species
AUAUGAGCUUUCACCGCAUGGUGGUUGUUGGAAAGUUUUUCGGUCAGGGAUGGGCUCGCGGCCUAUCAGCUUGUUGGUGGGGUGAUGGCCUACCAAGGCGACGACGGGUAGCCGGCCUGAGAGGGCGACCGGCCACACUGGGACUGAGACACGGCCCAGACUCCUACGGGAGGCAGCAGUGGGGAAUAUUGCACAAUGGGCGAAAGCCUGAUGCAGCGACGCCGCGUGAGGGAUGACGGCCUUCGGGUUGUAAACCUCUUUCAGCAGGGAAGAAGCGCAAGUGACGGUACCUGCAGAAGAAGCGCCGGCUAACUACGUGCCAGCAGCCGCGGUAAUACGUAGGGCGCAAGCGUUGUCCGGAAUUAUUGGGCGUAAAGAGCUCGUAGGCGGUUUGUCGCGUCUGGUGUGAAAACUCGAGGCUCAACCUCGAGCUUGCAUCGGGUACGGGCAGACUAGAGUGCGGUAGGGGAGACUGGAAUUCCUGGUGUAGCGGUGGAAUGCGCAGAUAUCAGGAGGAACACCGAUGGCGAAGGCAGGUCUCUGGGCCGCAACUGACGCUGAGGAGCGAAAGCAUGGGGAGCGAACAGGAUUAGAUACCCUGGUAGUCCAUGCCGUAAA